CCGGGUUGUGGCUUGCUGUUUGAUUUUCUUUCUUGUUUUCUUUUUGGCACUAGGCUACAACCACCUAUGAGUCGAAGAGACAGAUUUGUUCAAGGACUUACAGCAGGUGGUCAUUAGCAGGGCAAUUCUAUGCACGCCAGCUCACAGGAAGGCUGCACUGACUUCAAUGGAGCUUACUCUCGGAAAAAAAGUGGUUUGGAUGUCAGAAAAGCUCAAGAGUUAUGAAAGCAGCUUUAGGAGUUACACUUUGUUCUCCCCUCAACCCCACUGCCCAAAGGUAACUCCAGAAGAAGCACCCAGCUAUAUAUGGUCACCAGAUUGAAAACUGGAAAUGGCUCCUGUACCUUUAAUGUUCAUCUGGAAGAUGGGCUUUAAACAAGUGUGUAUCUCAAGCAGGUAACCAGCAACCAAGGAACCAGCAACAUCUGGUGAAUUUCCCUCCCCUAAGCCACUGCUUCUUAAGCUGUGGAUCACAACCCCAAAUGUGGUUCCCAUAGAUCAAUGUUGGGGUCAUGAAAACAUUGGCAACAGUAAAGGUUUUCUGAACAUCAC
rnacentral:lncRNA from 11 species